AGUGAACGCUGGCGGUAGGCCUAACACAUGCAAGUCGAACGGCAGCACAGUAAGAGCUUGCUCUUACGGGUGGCGAGUGGCGGACGGGUGAGGAAUACAUCGGAAUCUACUUUUUCGUGGGGGAUAACGUAGGGAAACUUACGCUAAUACCGCAUACGACCUACGGGUGAAAGCAGUGGAUCUUCGGACCUUGCGCGAUUGAAUGAGCCGAUGUCGGAUUAGCUAGUUGGCGGGGUAAAGGCCCACCAAGGCGACGAUCCGUAGCUGGUCUGAGAGGAUGAUCAGCCACACUGGAACUGAGACACGGUCCAGACUCCUACGGGAGGCAGCAGUGGGGAAUAUUGGACAAUGGGCGCAAGCCUGAUCCGGCCAUACCGCGUGGGUGAAGAAGGCCUUCGGGUUGUAAAGCCCUUUUGUUAGGAAAGAAAAGCAGCAGGUUAAUACCCCGCCGUUCUGACGGUACCCAAAGAAUAAGCACCGGCUAACUUCGUG
rnacentral:rRNA from 1 species